AGAGCAAGAGUCGGCUCGGCACGAGGAGAGGAGAUAAGAUAAGAAUUAAGAAGUCAUUUCGUCAUUAAAGUCAUCAAUUCAUCAUCAUGCCGCCAUCUAACCAGAUUCCAAAGCACGUGCAUUGUGUUUUCACGUCUUGUCUGAGUCUGAAUUCUACUUCAUCAGUUUCUUUGCGGUUCCUCGAGCCAAGGAUUGGCCGUUUUCUCAUGGCAACAUCAAAAGGGGUAAGGAAAGGACUUGAGAAACUGCCAUCCAACUGUUGAAAUUUUGUAUAUUUCAGUCACGCCCAUGGGGAGCUUGCCUAUCAUUUGUUGAGUUGUAGCCCACAUUCAAUACGGAUCAACACCUAUCAAUACUGCAGUUAAAGGUAUGUAAUAACUUGUGGUGCAGUUUAUCGCGAGACAAUUAGGGGAUUGAAUGCAGAUUGCCCAUUGUUUUAAUAAGCAAUGAGGGAGGGCUAACUUGCCCUUUUUUAAUGGUGUCCAAUACAAAAUAAACUAUGAACUAAGAAAAAUCAUGGGUAAGUAAUUUUAGAAUUAAUUAAAUUUAAGAGUAUACUAUUUUUCAAACGUAAAAUCACCAAAACAGGGAAUCAGUGAGUCCAAGAUGAAAAGUAGAAGCGUAAGGCUAAUCAAAAAGUUGGUUCAUCAAUUUAUGAUUGAUAUUAAUUUUUAUCAUCCAAUAUCUUAACAUUUAACGUAAUUUCGUAUGUAAUAUUGAAUGUAAUCUCUUAACGUAAUGCCUCUGCUCAACCUAUUAUGUUCAUGUCAUUGUACAUUUGGAGCAUUUUUGCAUCCUACACUUAAAUGUGUGGCAACACUUGUUUUACAAAAUUGGUCAAAAGGAGGCUGCAGGCACACCUGCAAAUCAAGAGCUUUCAUCUAAUGGAGUGGGAAUGAUACCUCUCCAGAAAACAAUUCUCUAAAGUUAUUACCUUUUUGCAAUGAGCCCUGAUUUUACUGAACAAUUGGUUUUCCCCUUCUUCCAUACCGAUCCAAUUUCUGUGUCACACAUUUUUACAAUUGGUUUGAGUUCAUGAGAAAAGAAUAUAUAUAUUUUUUCUUAUAAAAUGAGCCAAAAGUUGUUAUAGCUUGAUAAGUGUAUUAAUUUUCCCGGAAAAAAAACUGGCACCUGCCAAAAAUGUACUCAAUCAGAGUCCAACUCUAUCAGUAAUAGUACGUAAGUGAAGAUGGAACGGAACUCAUCGACGAGGUUGUCUCCUGACCCUUCAUAUCUCAACUUAUGAAGCUUUUCGCGGAUCCUUAGUCUUCUUGGGACUUCUAUUUAAUCCUUUUGGAACUGUUACUUGAAUUGCCAUUUCAUGGAACAUACCAAUCAGUUGGUACAAUUGCAUUAAAUUGCAACUUUCAAUUUUGACAUUUUUAUUGCACUGUUUUACUUGAAUAAGAGGAUGUUUCGAUAAAUAAUUUUUUCUUAGCCGUAUAUCAAUGACCUUGCAUUGAUUUGAUGGCUCAGGAUCUGUACAACACUAGAAAGGAAACGGAGUCACUGCUGUGCAGGGCCCUAAGCCCCAUCCAUUAUUGGGCCUCGGGGCCUGUCCGGGAGAGCGGAUGAAAUGACUAACACAAGAUAUCUAUGAAAAUUGUGGCUCGGAUGGCCACCACACCUCCUACCAACAUGUAGGAAAAGAUAAUCAGCACUUACAGGGUGA